rnacentral:rRNA from 1 species
ACCGAUAGUGAACCAGUACCGUGAGGGAAAGGCGAAAAGAACCCCGGCGAGGGGAGUGAAAAAGAACCUGAAACCGUGUACGUACAAGCAGUGGGAGCACGCUUAGGCGUGUGACUGCGUACCUUUUGUAUAAUGGGUCAGCGACUUAUAUUCUGUAGCAAGGUUAACCGAAUAGGGGAGCCGAAGGGAAACCGAGUCUUAACUGGGCGUUAAGUUGCAGGGUAUAGACCCGAAACCCGGUGAUCUAGCCAUGGGCAGGUUGAAGGUUGGGUAACACUAACUGGAGGACCGAACCGACUAAUGUUGAAAAAUUAGCGGAUGACUUGUGGCUGGGGGUGAAAGGCCAAUCAAACCGGGAGAUAGCUGGUUCUCCCCGAAAGCUAUUUAGGUAGCGCCUCGUGAAUUCAUCUCCGGGGGUAGAGCACUGUUUCGGCAAGGGGGUCAUCCCGACUUACCAACCCGAUGCAAACUGCGAAUACCGGAGAAUGUUAUCACGGGAGACACACGGCGGGUGCUAACGUCCGUCGUGAAGAGGGAAACAACCCAGACCGCCAGCUAAGGUCCCAAAGUCAUGGUUAAGUGGGAAACGAUGUGGGAAGGCCCAGACAGCCAGGAUGUUGGCUUAGAAGCAGCCAUCAUUUAAAGAAAGCGUAAUAGCUCACUGGUCGAGUCGGCCUGCGCGGAAGAUGUAACGGGGCUAAACCAUGCACCGAAGCUGCGGCAGCGACGCUGAUGCGUUGUUGGGUA